rnacentral:rRNA from 1 species
UGCCUGGCGACCAUAGCGAGCGGGAACCACCCGAUCCGAUGCCGAACUCGGCAGUGAAACCGCUCAGCGCCGAUGGUAGUGCGACCACGCUGUCGUGCGAGAGUAGGUCAUCGCCAGGCCC